rnacentral:rRNA from 1 species
AAAACGACUCUCGGCAACGGAUAUCUCGGCUCUCGCAUCGAUGAAGAACGUAGCGAAAUGCGAUACUUGGUGUGAAUUGCAGAAUCCCGUGAACCAUCGAGUCUUUGAACGCAAGUUGCGCCCCANGCCUUCUGGCCGAGGGCACGUCUGCCUGGGUGUCACAA